GACGAACGCUGGCGGCGUGCUUAACACAUGCAAGUCGAACGGAAAGGCCCUGCUUUUGUGGGGUGCUCGAGUGGCGAACGGGUGAGUAACACGUGAGUAACCUGCCCUUGACUUUGGGAUAACUUCAGGAAACUGGGGCUAAUACCGGAUAGGAGCUCCUGCUGCAUGGUGGGGGUUGGAAAGUUUCGGCGGUUGGGGAUGGACUCGCGGCUUAUCAGCUUGUUGGUGGGGUAGUGGCUUACCAAGGCUUUGACGGGUAGCCGGCCUGAGAGGGUGACCGGCCACAUUGGGACUGAGAUACGGCCCAGUCUCCUACGGGCGGCAGCAGUGGGGAAUAUUGCACAAUGGGCGGAAGCCUGAUGCAGCAACGCCGCGUGCGGGAUGACGGCCUUCUGGUUGUAAACCGCUUUCGCCUGUGACGAAGCGUGAGUGACGGUAAUGGGUAAAGAAGCACCGGCUAACUACGUG
rnacentral:rRNA from 1 species